GGAGGUGCCUUCGGUUUGGCUAACAAGUGACAAACGUCAAUGUUGGUGGCCGAAUAGCCUGAAUGCUCGUCCGUACAUGGUGAAGAGUGAAAAACCAAAUGAACAGUGGAAGUUGUACGACAUCGAAGUUGAAGGAUAUUCCAGUACUUUGGAAGGUGCGAGGAAAAAAGCGGAAAACCCCGAAUACACUUCAACACAGGAGGACGUGACACUUGCGGGCCGAGGUCAUAGAAAGAUAACCAAAAAGCAGGUUUCUACAGAUGAAAGUAGCGAUGAAUGUUCCCCACCAUCAUCACCAGGUUGCAUGCCACCAUCAACAAGGUCAACGCUAGGGAACAACGAAGCUGGUAAGGUAUCGGGUUUGUUACUGAAGAUAAUAUUGAAAAUUGUUUACCUUUCCUAGACAUUCUGCGUGGUACUACAGUGUGCUCUUCUGCUUCUGAGCCGUUAUCAACAUUAUCCGAGAAUUCAAAUGAAACAAAUUUUAAUUAUGGUGCAGCAGUGGACGAUUAUGUCAAUAGCACUGAAUAUAUUGCAGUUCAAGAAAAUACAGCGGUAGGCGCUCCCUUAGCAAUAGAGACUGUUAACAUCAAUGAGCUGCCAGUUCAUAUUGAAGGUAGAUGCUAUUUUUUCUGUGUAGCUAAUAAAAUUGUUGCUCUUUUUCAGGCAAUAUUACUGUGCAAGAUUUACAUAAUUCUAUUGAUCAAUUAAAAUCGAGAUUAAAAUACAUAUGUUUGGAAAACCAGAAGUGCAUUAAUGAUAUUUAUAAAAUUUUAAGAAACAUGUCUCUCAAAGAGGGUGAGAUUAAUGUUUCGCAGAAGGAAAAAUUUUGUAAAUGGCUACCAUUAGUUGAUCUUGAUAAGCUCAAACAAUUUGAAGAUGAAUUGAACCAAUCCCCCGAUUUAAAAGAAUCAUUUAUUCAAUUUAUGAAAAAUAUAGGAGGCCGGGAUCCGAAAGACAAUAUCAACCGAUGUUUGUCACGUACUUUUACCAACGAGCUAGGCACUCAUUGUUCUUGGCUCGGGUUGCGCGGUAAUUUUAAAGUACAAAACCUUUGCAUCAUGCAAAUCAUAGUAGUAUUUUUAGACACAGUUAUGAUGCGCUACAAUAACCUCAUACAGUUGAGCGACGUGGAGAGGAAUGCAUGCGAAUGGUUCCGUCUGUCAAAACAGAGGUUUCAGAGGGA